UGCCCUCUCCCACUUUCUGUUAAAUGUAAGUCUCCUUCUCAGUGUUAGGAUGUGCUGGGACUAGAGCAGUUGUAGGUCUGCGUGCUCCUCUUGCCCCUUCCAGACUGACCCAUCCCGAGGGUCCUGCUAAUGCCUAAGCGGCUGUGAGGGAGGAAUAGAAAAGUGAGCACAACUGGUUGAUGCAUUUAGGAAAAGGUGGACUUUUUAUCUCUUGGACAGGGAAAGGACUCCUUUGAGGUGGUGAUUGAUGGAUUUCUUCUAUUUCUACUCUCCCCUCUUGUUCUAUCAUUUCAGGACAAUUUUUUAAAAUUACUUCUUGUAUUUUUGAGUCAAGCUUUUCUUUAUGGUCAUAGCUUUCAGAUAAAAUUCGUGAUCUUUUUCUAUGGAAAAUCCUACUGGUGAGGGUAGUGGCCAUUCUGAAGAAUUGAAGGCAUCAUCCCCUGAGAGGAAAGAAUAUAUGGACUCUGAUGGACAGACUAUGGAUGAAUCUAUCAAUCAAUUUCAGUCAGAUAAAAAGUCAGAUAUUCUUUUGACAAAAAGCUUCAUGGAAGUUAAAAGCUGCUGGCUUUUUUCUUGGGGAACUUAGAGUUCAUCUUUCAGGUAAUGUGGUUGGACAACCAGAACCAAAGCAGAAGGAAGACAAAGAUGAUUUUCAAGAGCCUGAAGUUAGCACCAAAAGUAAAAGGAAAACUGAAACUUCCAAAAGACAUGUUGGAGAAACACUUUAUGACACUAUGAUCUGUACUGCUUGCGGACAACAGGUGAACCAUUAUGAGAAGGAUUCAAUAUAUAGACAUCCUGCAUUGAAUAUUCUUAUUUGUAAGAACUGCUACAUAUAUAUGACUGAUGACAUUAAGCCAUGAUUCUAAAAGAACUCAUAAGCCCUACAGAUGGUGUGCAGAAGGCGGAAACAUAAUUUUUUGUAAUUCUUGCUAUAAUACUUUUUGUGAAAAAUGCAUUUGGUACAGUCUAGGGAGAAAGGAGAUCUCAAAUUUGAUGGAUGAAAACACUAAAUGAAAUUGUUAUAUUUGUCAACCUGAGACUUUGUUGGUUUUGAUUGCCAUAUGUGACAGUGUAUUUGAGACUUUAUUACACUUAGAUCAGCAUUAAAAAAAAAAAAAAGUAAGUAAAAAGUGUGUCAAUACCUGUGAUCAUCCAGAAAAAUUCAAAUAUGGAAAUUGUGCUGAAGAGACCCAACAUUUAUAUGAUUCUUCCUCUGAGACUUCAACAUAUCCUUUUUUUAUAUUACUGAUUCCAAAAGAGUUGAUUAAAAGAACAAAAGCAUUGAUAGAGGAUGUGAUGGUUUAUUAAUGCUACUUUUCUGAUUGUUUUGGAAAAAAUAUCCAAUAAUUCAGAAGUUAGCCAAGUGCAAAUUUAAAUCAGUUGGAAUCUGUUAGAUAAUUGAUGAUGGGGAUAGGUAAUGCUCAGGAGGCUUUAGAAGAAUGCCUGAAAAAUGAAAUAAUUAAUAAUGUUAGAGAGAAGGAAGAAAAUCCUAAAAAAGAGACAAAAUGAGGAUGCUUUAAAAGAUACUAAAACCCUAUGAUUUCUGUGUUAGGAUUGAGAGCUAUUUCCCUGUUCAUGGCUAGAAUGUGAGGGUACCCGCUGUGUCUAACCAGAGGGUAGGUCCAGCCCUUGGGAUGUUUCUUAGAUUUGUUUAUGUUAGGGUAUGUAAACUUUCUUGUUUCCUUCCUGUACACCACCUCUCAUUACUGCCAGUCCGCCCUGGUAGAGGGAGAUGCCUAGUUCUCGUGAGACUUGAUCAAAUAAAUGCUUCUGUUUUCUACAA